rnacentral:rRNA from 1 species
AAAUUGAAGAGUUUGAUCAUGGCUCAGAUUGAACGCUGGCGGCAGGCCUAACACAUGCAAGUCGAACGGUAACAGGAAGCAGCUUGCUGCUUCGCUGACGAGUGGCGGACGGGUGAGUAAUGUCUGGGAAACUGCCUGAUGGAGGGGGAUAACUACUGGAAACGGUAGCUAAUACCGCAUAACGUCGCAAGACCAAAGAGGGGGACCUUCGGGCCUCUUGCCAUCGGAUGUGCCCAGAUGGGAUUAGCUAGUAGGUGGGGUAACGGCUCACCUAGGCGACGAUCCCUAGCUGGUCUGAGAGGAUGACCAGCCACACUGGAACUGAGACACGGUCCAGACUCCUACGGGAGGCAGCAGUGGGGAAUAUUGCACAAUGGGCGCAAGCCUGAUGCAGCCAUGCCGCGUGUAUGAAGAAGGCCUUCGGGUUGUAAAGUACUUUC